GGGGGUGUCGUCCAAUGGUAAGACUCUGGUCUCCAAAACCAGGUAUCCAGGUCCGAAUCCUGGCGCCCCCG
rnacentral:tRNA from 1 species